AGCCGCAUGGAAAAAUGAUCUUUCCAUGCGGCCGUUUAAGAGGACCGCAUGGAAAGAUUAUUUUUCCAUGCGGCC
rnacentral:pre_miRNA from 11 species